UUAAAGGUACUCCACUGAGGUACGGCCGAAUGUCACAAAAAAAGUAAAAUUUCACGAACCGAUAUUUUUUUGUUACCUGCGAGUUAGGGACAUUCAAACAGAAUCAGUGAUACAUUGAUAUGUGUUCUUUGGAUUGGCAAGUCGUUUGAAAUACAUAUUUUCUCCAAUUUUGUGGGAAAAGCGUUUAAACACCUUUCAGUUUGCAAAUCUGAAUAAAAACAACGGUCACGUGAUGAUUCUCGGGAUGACUAAAAAGCGAAACGGAGAAUUUUUUGUGUAUCGGCAGCAACGAAAGUGCGAAACCGGAAUAUACCAACAAUCCAUAAAUUUAAAAGCAAAUAAUGGGCCUCCGUACUAGUGAUGGGUCAAUUGAGCUGUGCUUUAAUGUUACCAAUAUAUUGAAAGCUUCCCGGUGGAAAAGAAAUUGAGAGCGUUAUAAGAGUAAAAAAGGAAAACUGGAAUAAAGACAAUCAAGGCGACGGCAACGUUCACAUGACGCAGCCCCCGACAUAGUCAAGCUUCCACAGCAGGGUUAUUGCCGUGACUAGUGAAAUAAACUUAAAACUGAU